rnacentral:tRNA from 1 species
UGCGGGAUAGAGCAAUAUGGUAGCUCGCAAGGCUCAUAAUCUUGAGGUUACAGGUUCGAGUCCUGUGCCCGCCA